GCGGAUGUGGCGAAACGGUAGACGCGAUAGGUUUAGGACCUAUUGGCCGUAAGGCUAUGGGGGUUCAAGUCCCUCCAUCCGCACCA
rnacentral:tRNA from 1 species